AAGGAAGAAAGAAAGAAAUAAAAAAUACACGAAAAAACUUAAAAACUGUAAAACGUAACGUUCUUUUUUUUUUCUCUCUUUUCCUUUUUUA
rnacentral:ribozyme from 1 species